UACGUAGGGCGCAAGCGUUAUCCGGAAUUAUUGGGCGUAAAGAGCUCGUAGGCGGUUUGUCGUGUCUGCCGUGAAAGUCCGGGGCUCAACUCCGGAUCUGCGGUGGGUACGGGCAGACUAGAGUGAUGUAGGGGAGACUGGAAUUCCUGGUGUAGCGGUGAAAUGCGCAGAUAUCAGGAGGAACACCGGUGGCGAAGGCAGGUCUCUGGGCAUUAACUGACGCUGAGGAGCGAAAGCAUGGGGAGCGAACAGG
rnacentral:rRNA from 1 species